GGUGUGUCUUGCGCGGCUGUGAAGUGGGUGUGUUAUCAGUUCCAGUCUGGGGGAUAACCGACACUGGCCCGAGUACUGGGAACCAUGAGAGCGCCCCGGCUGGAAUUAGGACCAGUUCUUCAUUGCCUGUGCGUGUGCCUGAUCUGUGAAGGUGCGCUGGAGGUGAAGACAGACACCCUGCCAGUAUCCUGUCUUGCGGGCCAGGAGGUGCUUUUAAACUGCUCGUUUUCCAAGCCUCCCCGUGUGCAGCUAAGCGCCAUCGCCGUGGAGUGGAAGGUCAUGGCGGGAGACGGGAGAAGCCGGGCGGUGUACUCUUUCGAUGGGAGCAGAGAAGCUCACGGCCGCCCUGGCUCGGGCGUCGCUCUGCACAGACUGGUACAGGGUGACGCCUCGUUGCGUUUGCCAAAUGUGACACUCGCGGACGGGGGGCCGUACACCUGUACUGUCAUGAUCACGCCUGAGGUCGGUUAUGGAAACAUUCAGCUGGAUGUAUCAGUGCGGCCUUCUGUAACAGUGCUUCCUGAACUGGCCACCAUCACCGUGGGUGAAGAGAAGACAAUCCUGUGUGAAAUCACUAGAUUUUACCCCAAGCUAAUGGAAGUGACUUGGCUCGUUAAGAAGGACCUUGCUCCGGAGCUCCCUGCCGUUUCACGAGACGUCUGCACUGGAAUUCCUGUUCCGAACAGAGACCAGACCUAUAACGUCCACAGCCGUAUUACAGUGCUGGCGAGUAUGGAAGAAAAUGGGGCCAUGUAUGUCUGUCAAAUCAAACACAAGUCCUAUGGCACACCCCACAGAAGAAACGCCACACUUAAAGUUGUAGCCCCAAGAUUGCCUUCUGAUAGCACAGCAGUGAUAGCUGGCACCUUCUCCACCAGUGUGCUUCUCAUCCUGGCAAUCCUGGGAGCAGUGAUUAUAUACUUCAGGCAUUUCCAGAGAGUUCCUCCAAAUGUCUCUGAAAUUAUCCAGCCUGCCAUUAUAUAUGCCAACGAGACAGCAAAAUUAAAAUGCAACAUCACUGCGUUCAGAUCACAUGCUUUCAAAGUGCAGUGGCUGAGGGUGAAGCACCAUCAGUACCAUGACCAGUCAGAGGGUCUGGGCGGCUCUCCAGAAGCUAUUCCACUUAACAGGUGUGAUGACGUGAGCGAUAAAGCUGAGAACCAGUUUGACAAACAGCACAGGCUCUGUGUCUCCACUAUCCCUGUUCAGCUGGCUGUCGAGGACGAUAACACUGAGUUUUGUUGCAUUGUGCGAUGUGGCCGAACAGAAAUCUGCAGGACAGCCGUCCUCAAAGUUACAGCCUCCCCCCGAUCCCCAAACUGCAGAAGACGCUCGUCCUGUGUUGCAGGAUGGAGAAGUUCUACCCUGGGAGUGUUACCCUGGAGUGGUUCCGAGACGGGCAGGCAGUGAAGGAUGUCACCCAGUUUGGACCCUUUGAAGACUCUGGGCAGCUGUACAGUGUUUGGAGCCAAAGUCAGCUCACUGUAACCAAGGAAGACGAGGGCGCUGUC